UUUGCAUUUUAUCAGUCCAUGCAUUCCCUGGGAAACAAACCCAUGACCUCGGUGUUGCCAUAGCGCCAUGCUACUGUUUGUGCUAGAGGAAUGCUUUUUAGUUUCUAAGGCACAUUACAAAUAGAAAGAAUUUUGAAAGAAUAAAAAAAAAAAAAACAUUAGAAGGCAUCCACUGUCUGGACUUUCCUGUUAGGCCAGAUCCUGCUAAAGAGGAAGUUCUGGAGCGAUGGGAUUGAGGAGCCCAUAGUUUGACACAGAGAUUUUGCCUCAGCGUGUCAGCAUUUCCUUGACCCUCUUUGGCUUAGCUUACCCUCAACUGUCGAGGAACAAAAAUGAGUCACUUCGGCCCUCAAGCCCACACUCUAUCACUUCAAAGGAUGAGCAAACAGGAAAGAGAAAGAGGACGGGGGAGGGCGAGUGAGGGAGAAAGUGAUUUUGAUCUGACAAAAAUGCCGGAAAUAAGACAAUAACAAACGCACAAUAAAAAGCCCUCUACUUUAGUUUCACAAACAAACUCAUUUUUUUUUUUGUGUGGAUGACACGUAAUCUAGAAAACAACUUCUCUGUUUUUACUAAAGCCAAACACUGAAACACAAAUGAAGCUUGUCAGCCUUCACACAUGAAA